rnacentral:misc_RNA from 1 species
GAUGAGAACGUAGCGAAAUGCGAUAAGUAAUGUGAAUUGCAGAAUUCAGUGAAUCAUCGAAUCUUUGAACGCACCUUGCGCCCUUUGGCCAUUCCGAAGGGCAUGCCUGUUUGAGUAUCAUGAACACCUCAACUCUUUAUGGUUUUCCAUGAUGAGCUUGGACUCUGGGGGUUUUGCUGGCUCACAGUCGGCUCCUCUGAAAUGAAUCAGCUUACCAGUGUUUGGUGGGUAUCAUAGGUGUGAUAACUAUCUACGCUUGUGGUUUUUCCACCAGGUAACCUUCAGCAGUGGAGGUUCGCUGGAGCUCAUAGAUGUCUCUCCUCAGUGAGGACAGCCCUUUGAAUGUUUGAUCUCAAAUCAGGUAGGACUACCCGCUGAACUUAAGCAUAUCAAUAAGCGGAGGA